UGAGCCAGUGCUGAGAAUGUGUUAUGACCCUAAGGAACAUAAGGAAUAUAAUUCUGGAGACUUGAGAGCCAAU
rnacentral:snoRNA from 14 species